rnacentral:rRNA from 1 species
GAUAAACGCUGGCGGCGUGCAUGAGACAUGCAAGUCGAACGAAGGAUCGGGCUUGCUCGAUCCUUAGUGGCGGACGGCUGAGUAACGCGUAGGUGACCUACCCCGAAGUGGGGAAUAACUGCCCGAAAGGGUGGCUAAUACCGCAUGUGGUCGCACGUUCAUUCGUGCGAGUAAAGCCGCAAGGCGCUUCGGGAGGGGCCUGCGUCCGAUUAGCUCGUUGGUGGGGUAAUGGCUUACCAAGGCGACGAUCGGUAGGUGGUCUGAGAGGACGAUCACCCAGACUGGGACUGAGACACGGCCCAGACUCCUACGGGAAGCAGCAGUCGGGAAUUUUGCUCAAUGGGGGAAACCCUGAAGCAGCAACGCCGCGUGAGGGAUGAAGGCCUUCGGGUUGUAAACCUCUUUUGUCAGGGACGAUGAUGACGGUACCUAGCGAAUAAGCCACGGCUAACUACGUG